rnacentral:rRNA from 1 species
AGAGUUUGAUCAUGGCUCAGGAUGAACACUGGCGGAGUGCCUAACACAUGCAAGUCGAGCGGCAGCGCGAGUAGUUUACUACUUGGCGGCGAGCGGCGGACGGCUGAGUAACGCGUGGGAACAUGCCCCAAAGUGAGGAAUAACUGCCCGAAAGGGUAGCUAAUGCCGCAUACGAUCUUCGGAUUAAAGGAUUUAUCCGCUUUGGGAGUGGCCUGCGUACGAUUAGAUAGUUGGUGAGGUAAUGGCUCACCAAGUCUACGAUCGUUAACUGGUUUGAGAGGAUGAUCAGUCAGACUGGAACUGAGACACGGUCCAGACUCCUACGGGAGGCAGCAGUGAGGAAUCUUCCACAAUGGACGAAAGUCUGAUGGAGCAACUCCGCGUGCAGGAUGAAGGCCUUCGGGUCGUAAACUGCUUUUAUGAGUGAAGAAUAUGACGGUAACUCAUGAAUAAGGGUCGGCUAACUACGUG